rnacentral:rRNA from 1 species
UACGUAGGGGGCAAGCGUUGUCCGGAAUCAUUGGGCGUAAAGAGCGCGUAGGCGGUCCGGUAAGUCAGCUGUGAAAGUCAAGGGCUCAACCCUUGAAAGCCGGUUGAUACUGUCGGGCUAGAGUGCGGGAGAGGCGAGUGGAAUUCCUGGUGUAGCGGUGAAAUGCGCAGAUAUCAGGAGGAACACCAAUUGCGAAGGCAGCUCGCUGGAACGUAACUGACGCUGAGACGCGAAAGCGUGGGGAGCAAACAGG